CAGCANUGUCAGUGGCGGACGGGUGAGUAACGCGUAGGAACGUGUCCUGAGGUGGGGGACAACCCCGGGAAACUGGGGCUAAUACCGCAUAUGGGCUGAGGCCCAAAGCCGAGAGGCGCCUUUGGAGCGGCCUGCGUCCGAUUAGGUAGUUGGUGGGGUAAAGGCCUACCAAGCCUGCGAUCGGUAGCUGGUCUGAGAGGACGACCAGCCACACUGGGACUGAGACACGGCCCAGACUCCUACGGGAGGCAGCAGUGGGGAAUAUUGGACAAUGGGCGAAAGCCUGAUCCAGCAAUGCCGCGUGGGUGAAGAAGGUCUUCGGAUCGUAAAGCCCUUUCGACGGGGACGAUGAUGACGGUACCCGUAGAAGAAGCCCCGGCUAACUUCGUGCCAGCAGCCGCGGUAAUACGAAGGGGGCUAGCGUUGCUCGGAAUUACUGGGCGUAAAGGGCGCGUAGGCGGCGGCCCAAGUCAGGCGUGAAAUUCCUGGGCUCAACCUGGGGACUGCGCUUGAUACUGGGUUGCUUGAGGAUGGAAGAGGCUCGUGGAAUUCCCAGUGUAGAGGUGAAAUUCGUAGAUAUUGGGAAGAACACCGGUGGCGAAGGCGGCGAGCUGGUCCAUUACUGACGCUGAGGCGCGACAGCGUGGGGA
rnacentral:rRNA from 1 species